AACGAACGCUGGCGGCAUGCCUAACACAUGCAAGUCGAACGAGACCUUCGGGUCUAGUGGCGCACGGGUGCGUAACGCGUGGGAACCUGCCCUUAGGUUCGGAAUAACUCCCCGAAAGGGGUGCUAAUACCGGAUAAUGUCUUCGGACCAAAGAUUUAUCGCCUUUGGAUGGGCCCGCGUUGGAUUAGCUAGUUGGUAGGGUAAAAGCCUACCAAGGCGACGAUCCAUAGCUGGUCUGAGAGGAUGAUCAGCCACACUGGGGCUGAGACACGGCCCAGACUCCUACGGGAGGCAGCAGUGGGGAAUAUUGGACAAUGGGCGAAGGCCUGAUCCAGCAAUGCCGCGUGAGUGAUGAAGGCCGUAGGGUUGUAAAGCUCUUUUACCCGGGAUGAUAAUGACAGUACCGGGAGAAUAAGCUCCGGCUAACUCCGUG
rnacentral:rRNA from 1 species